rnacentral:rRNA from 1 species
CGGGGGGGCGUGCUAUACAUGCAGUCGAGCGGACAGAAGGGAGCUUGCUCCCGGAUGUUAGCGGCGGACGGGUGAGUAACACGUGGGUAACCUGCCUGUAAGACUGGGAUAACUCCGGGAAACCGGAGCUAAUACCGGAUAGUUCCUUGAACCGCAUGGUUCAAGGAUGAAAGACGGUUUCGGCUGUCACUUACAGAUGGACCCGCGGCGCAUUAGCUAGUUGGUGAGGUAACGGCUCACCAAGGCGACGAUGCGUAGCCGACCUGAGAGGGUGAUCGGCCACACUGGGACUGAGACACGGCCCAGACUCCUACGGGAGGCAGCAGUAGGGAAUCUUCCGCAAUGGACGAAAGUCUGACGGAGCAACGCCGCGUGAGUGAUGAAGGUUUUCGGAUCGUAAAGCUCUGUUGUUAGGGAAGAACAAGUGCAAGAGUAACUGCUUGCACCUUGACGGUACCUAACCAGAAAGCCACGGCUAACUACGUGCCAGCAGCCGCGGUAAUACGUAGGUGGCAAGCGUUGUCCGGAAUUAUUGGGCGUAAAGGGCUCGCAGGCGGUUUCUUAAGUCUGAUGUGAAAGCCCCCGGCUCAACCGGGGAGGGUCAUUGGAAACUGGGAAACUUGAGUGCAGAAGAGGAGAGUGGAAUUCCACGUGUAGCGGUGAAAUGCGUAGAGAUGUGGAGGAACACCAGUGGCGAAGGCGACUCUCUGGUCUGUAACUGACGCUGAGGAGCGAAAGCGUGGGGAGCGAACAGGAUUAGAUACCCUGGUAGUCCACGCCGUAAACGAUGAGUGCUAAGUGUUAGGGGGUUUCCGCCCCUUAGUGCUGCAGCUAACGCAUUAAGCACUCCGCCUGGGGAGUACGGUCGCAAGACUGAACUCAAAGGAAUUGACGGGGGCCCGCACAAGCGGUGGAGCAUGUGGUUUAAUUUCGAAGCAACGCGGAAGACCUUACCAGUCUUGACAUCCUCUGACAACCCUAGAGAAUAGGGCUUUCCCUUUCGGGGACAGAGUGACAGAUAGAUGCAUGGUUGUCGUCAGCUUCGUGUCGUGAGAAUGUUGGUUAGUCCCGCACGAGCGCAACCUGAUCUUAGUUGCAGCAUUCAGUUUGGGCACACUCUA